GGGGAGAGAGGGGACUGAGAGGUGCUCCAGGAAUAAGAGGUGGUCAGGGAGACGGGUGACACAGGCUCUGCUGGAGCACAGGGUCAUGAAGGUCAGGCUGGAGAUGUGGGUUCACAGGGUCUGAGUGGAGUGUCUGGGCUCAAAGGGUACAGAGGAGAGCCAGGACCUUACGGGCCUGCGGGUGUUAAGGGCCCCAGGGGGCCUCCAGGAGCACCAGGAGAUGCAGGGCCCAUUGGGAAAAGGGGUGAUGCUGGAACACAGGGAGAAGGCCAACCUGGAUAUCCAGGGUUCCAGGGAUACCCUGGUCUGAGAGGACCUGCAGGUUUAAAGGUCUGUCUGUCUCUCUAUCUGUCUCUCUCUAUCUAUAUACCCUGGUCUGAGAGGACCUG